rnacentral:rRNA from 1 species
UACGGAAGGUCCAGGCGUUAUCCGGAUUUAUUGGGUUUAAAGGGAGCGCAGGCGGUGGCGUAAGUCAGUUGUGAAAUCGUGCGGCUUAACCGUGCAAUUGCAGUUGAUACUGCGUCGCUUGAGUGCACACAGGGAUGUUGGAAUUCAUGGUGUAGCGGUGAAAUGCUUAGAUAUCAUGAAGAACUCCGAUCGCGAAGGCAUAUGUCCGGAGUGCAACUGACGCUGAGGCUCGAAAGUGUGGGUAUCAAACAGG